rnacentral:rRNA from 2 species
UGCAGUCGAGCGAAUCGAUGGGAGCUUGCUCCCUGAGAUUAGCGGCGGACGGGUGAGUAACACGUGGGCAACCUGCCUAUAAGACUGGGAUAACUUCGGGAAACCGGAGCUAAUACCGGAUACGUUCUUUUCUCGCAUGAGAGAAGAUGGAAAGACGGUUUACGCUGUCACUUAUAGAUGGGCCCGCGGCGCAUUAGCUAGUUGGUGAGGUAAUGGCUCACCAAGGCGACGAUGCGUAGCCGACCUGAGAGGGUGAUCGGCCACACUGGGACUGAGACACGGCCCAGACUCCUACGGGAGGCAGCAGUAGGGAAUCUUCCGCAAUGGACGAAAGUCUGACGGAGCAACGCCGCGUGAACGAAGAAGGCCUUCGGGUCGUAAAGUUCUGUUGUUAGGGAAGAACAAGUACCAGAGUAACUGCUGGUACCUUGACGGUACCUAACCAGAAAGCCACGGCUAACUACGUGCCAGCAGCCGCGGUAAUACGUAGGUGGCAAGCGUUGUCCGGAAUUAUUGGGCGUAAGCGCGCGCAGGUGGUUCCUUAAGUCUGAUGUGAAAGCCCACGGCUCAACCGUGGAGGGUCAUUGGAAACUGGGGAACUUGAGUGCAGAAGAGGAAAGUGGAAUUCCAAGUGUAGCGGUGAAAUGCGUAGAGAUUUGGAGGAACACCAGUGGCGAAGGCGACUUUCUGGUCUGUAACUGACACUGAGGCGCGAAAGCGUGGGGAGCAAACAGGAUUAGAUACCCUGGUAGUCCACGCCGUAAACGAUGAGUGCUAAGUGUUAGAGGGUUUCCGCCCUUUAGUGCUGCAGCUAACGCAUUAAGCACUCCGCCUGGGGAGUACGGCCGCAAGGCUGAAACUCAAAGGAAUUGACGGGGGCCCGCACAAGCGGUGGAGCAUGUGGUUUAAUUCGAAGCAACGCGAAGAACCUUACCAGGUCUUGACAUCCUCUGACAACCCUAGAGAUAGGGCUUUCCCCUUCGGGGGACAGAGUGACAGGUGGUGCAUGGUUGUCGUCAGCUCGUGUCGUGAGAUGUUGGGUUAAGUCCCGCAACGAGCGCAACCCUUGAUCUUAGUUGCCAGCAUUCAGUUGGGCACUCUAAGGUGACUGCCGGUGACAAACCGGAGGAAGGUGGGGAUGACGUCAAAUCAUCAUGCCCCUUAUGACCUGGGCUACACACGUGCUACAAUGGAUGGUACAAAGGGCUGCAAACCUGCGAAGGUAAGCGAAUCCCAUAAAGCCAUUCUCAGUUCGGAUUGCAGGCUGCAACUCGCCUGCAUGAAGCCGGAAUCGCUAGUAAUCGCGGAUCAGCAUGCCGCG